UACGUAGGGGGCAAGCGUUGUCCGGAUUUAUUGGGCGUAAAGCGCACGCAGGCGGUCUCUUAAGUUUCGAGUGACAGGUCAGGGCUUAACCCUGGCAGGCCUUGGAAAACUGGGGGACUUGAGGGCUUCAGAGGGACGCGGAAUUCCAGGUGGAGCGGUGAAAUGCGUAGAUAUCCGGAGGAACACCGGUGGCGAAGGCGGCUUCCUGGACCGACACUGACGCUGAGGCGCGAAAGCUAGGGGAGCAAACGGG
rnacentral:rRNA from 1 species